rnacentral:sRNA from 1 species
CGAUCACUUGUACAUCGCUAAUUAUUGAAUACACAGAAAUUACCUCUUGUAUUUUAUUCUACAAGAAACUUAAUGACUGAUGCAAAAUAAAAAUAUUACAUGUUUUCCCCAUUUACCCAAGAUUUGUGACAAGCAAAAAAAACCUCAGAUAUACAGUAUACUCCAGCAUUAUAAUAGACCUCCAGGCUCCAAUCUACAUCUCAGCCCCCCCCCCCCCC